rnacentral:rRNA from 1 species
GACGAACGCUGGCGGCGUGCCUAAUACAUGCAAGUCGAGCGAAGUUUUUCUGGUGCUUGCACCGGAAAAACUUAGCGGCGAACGGGUGAGUCACACGUAAAGAACCUGCCUUAUAGACUGGGACAACUAUUGGAAACGAUAGCUAAUACCGGAUAACAGCAUUAACUGCAUGGUUGAUGUUUGAAAGUUGGUUUUGCUAACACUAUGAGAUGGCUUUGCGUUGCAUUAGCUAGUUGGUGGGGUAAAGGCCUACCAAGGCGACGAUGCAUAGCCGACCGGAGAGGGUGAUCGGCCACACUGGGACUGAGACACGGCCCAGACUCCUACGGGAGGCAGCAGUAGGGAAUCUUCCGCAAUGGGCGAAAGCCUGACGGAGCAACGCCGCGUGAGUGAAGAAGGAUUUCGGUUCGUAAAGCUCUGUUGUUAGGGAAGAAUGAUUGUGUAGUAACGAGACACAGUAGAGACGGUACCUAACCAGAAAGCCACGGCUAACUACGUG